GAUGAACGCUGGCGGCGUGCCUAAUACAUGCAAGUCGAGCGAACUGAUUAGAAGCUUGCUUCUAUGACGUUAGCGGCGGACGGGUGAGUAACACGUGGGCAACCUGCCUGUAAGACUGGGAUAACUUCGGGAAACCGAAGCUAAUACCGGAUAGGAUCCUCUCCUUCAUGGGAGAUGAUUGAAAGAUGGUUUCGGCUAUCACUUACAGAUGGGCCCGCGGUGCAUUAGCUAGUUGGUGAGGUAACGGCUCACCAAGGCAACGAUGCAUAGCGGACCUGAGAGGGUGAUCGGCCAAACUGGGACUGAGACACGGCCCAGACUCCUACGGGAGGCAGCAGUAGGGAAUCGUCCGCAAUGGACGAAAGUCUGACGGAGCAACGCCGCGUGAGUGAUGAAGGCUUUCGGGUCGUAAAACUCUGUUGUUAGGGAAGAACAAGUACGAGAGUAACUGCUCGUACCUUGACGGUACCUAACCAGAAAGCCACGGCUAACUACGUGCCAGCAGCCGCCGUAACAC
rnacentral:rRNA from 1 species